AUACUAGCACUCAUGCUCUGAAUCCCAUCAGAACUCCAUAGUUAAGUAUGUUUAUGGGAGAGUACUAUUAAGAUGAGUGAACUCUUGGGAAGUCGUCGUGUUGCAAUAG